GGGAGAUUAGCUCAGUUGGUAGAGCGCUUCGUUUACACCGAAGAUGUCGGGAGUUCGAGUCUCUCAUCUCCCACCA
rnacentral:tRNA from 2 species